rnacentral:rRNA from 1 species
GACAUGGCUCAGAUUGAACGCUGGCGGCAGGCUUAACACAUGCAAGUCGAACGGUAACAGGGAUUAGCUUGCUAAUUUGCUGACGAGUGGCGGACGGGUGAGUAAUGCUUGGGAAUCUGGCUUAUGGAGGGGGAUAACUACGGGAAACUGUAGCUAAUACCGCGUAAUAUCGGAAGAUUAAAGGGUGGGACUUUCGGGCCACCUGCCAUAAGAUGAGCCCAAGUGGGAUUAGGUAGUUGGUUAGGUAAAGGCUG